rnacentral:tRNA from 1 species
AGUUAUAUAGUCUAUAGAGGAUAUUAAAUUGCAAAUUUAGAGGUGAAAAAUUUUCUAUAACUU